GAUGAACGCUGGCGGUAUGCUUAACACAUGCAAGUCGAACGGUCACUUCGGUGAUAGUGGCGGACGGGUGAGUAACGCGUGAGAAUCUGUCUUCAGGUCGGGGACAACAGUUAGAAAUGACUGCUAAUACCGGAUGUGCCUUUGGGUGAAAGAUUUAUUGCCUGAAAAAGAGCUCGCGUCAGAUUAGCUAGUAGGUGGUGUAAGAGACUACCUAGGCUCCGAUCUGUAGCUGGUCUGAGAGGACGAUCAGCCACACUGGAACUGAGACACGGUCCAGACUCCUACGGGAGGCAGCAGUGGGGAAUUUUCCGCAAUGGGCGAAAGCCUAACGGAGCAAUACCGCGUGAGGGACGAAGGCUUUUGGGUCGUAAACCUCUUUUCUCAAGGAAGAUGAUGACGGUACUUGAGGAAUAAGCAUCGGCUAACUCUGUG
rnacentral:rRNA from 1 species